rnacentral:rRNA from 1 species
CCAUGAGUAAAGUGGCGUACGGGUGAGUAACACGUGACUAACCUACCCUCGAGUGGGGAAUAACCUCGGGAAACCGGGGCUAAUACCGCAUAACAUCUACGGAUCAAAUGCGUAAGCAGCUCGAGGAGGGGGUCGCGGCCGAUUAGCUAGUUGGCGGGGUAAUGGCCCACCAAGGCAAUGAUCGGUAGCCGGCCUGAGAGGGCGCACGGCCACACUGGAACUGAAACACGGUCCAG